GAUGAACGCUAGCGACAGGCUUAACACAUGCAAGCCGAGGGGCAGCAUGAGGUAGCAAUACCUUGAUGGCGACCGGCGCACGGGUGAGUAACGCGUAUGCAACCUGCCCGAUACCGGGGUAUAGCCCAUGGAAACGUGGAUUAACACCCCAUAGUACUUUUAUCCUGCAUGGGAUGUGAGUUAAAUGUUCAAGGCAUCGGAUGGGAAUGCGUUCUAUUAGUUAGUUGGCGGGGUAACAGCCCACCAAGACGAUGAUAGGUAGGGGUUCUGAGAGCACGGUCCACCACAUGGAGACUGAGACACUGUCCAAACUCCUACGGGAGGCAGCAGUGAGGAAUAUUGGUCAAUGGACGUAAGUCUGAACCAGCCAAGUCGCGUAAGAGAAGACUGCCCUAUGGGUUGUAAACCUCUUUUAUAAGGGAAGAAUAAGUUCUACGUGUAGAAUGAUGCCUGUACCUUAUGAAUAAGCAUCGGCUAACUCCGUGCCAGCCGCCGCGGUAA
rnacentral:rRNA from 1 species